GAUGAACGCUGGCGGCGUGCCUAAUACAUGCAAGUCGAGCGAACAGACGAGGAGCUUGCUCCUCUGACGUUAGCGGCGGACGGGUGAGUAACACGUGGAUAACCUACCUAUAAGACUGGGAUAACUUCGGGAAACCGGAGCUAAUACCGGAUAAUAUAUUGAACCGCAUGGUUCAAUAGUGAAAUACGGUUUUGCUGUCACUUAUAGAUGGAUCCGCGCCGCAUUAGCUAGUUGGUAAGGUAACGGCUUACCAAGGCGACGAUGCGUAGCCGACCUGAGAGGGUGAUCGGCCACACUGGAACUGAGACACGGUCCAGACUCCUACGGGAGGCAGCAGUAGGGAAUCUUCCGCAAUGGGCGAAAGCCUGACGGAGCAACGCCGAGUGAGUGAUGAAGGUCUUCGGAUCGUAAAACUCUGUUAUUAGGGAAGAACAAAUGUGUAAGUAACUAUGCACGUCUUGACGGUACCUAAUCAGAAAGCCACGGCUAACUACGUG
rnacentral:rRNA from 1 species